rnacentral:rRNA from 1 species
GACGAACGCUGGCGGCGUGCUUAACACAUGCAAGUCGAACGGAAAGGCCCUGCUUUUGUGGGGUGCUCGAGUGGCGAACGGGUGAGUAACACGUGAGUAACCUGCCCCUGACUUUGGGAUAACUUCAGGAAACUGGGGCUAAUACCGGAUAGGAGCUCCUGCUGCUUGGUGGGGGUUGGAAAGUUUCGGCGGUUGGGGAUGGACUCGCGGCUUAUCAGCUUGUUGGUGGGGUAGUGGCUUACCAAGGCUUUGACGGGUAGCCGGCCUGAGAGGGUGACCGGCCACAUUGGGACUGAGAUACGGCCCAGACUCCUCCGGGAGGCAGCAGUGGAGAAUAGUGCACAAUAGGCGGAAGCCUGAUGCAGCAACGCCGCGUGCGGGAUGACGGCCUUCGGGUUGUAAACCGCUUUCGCCUGUGACGAAGCGUGAGUGACGGUAAUGGGUAAAGAAGCACCGGCUAACUACGUG